rnacentral:rRNA from 1 species
GAUGAACGCUAGCGGGAGGCUUAACACAUGCAAGCCGAGGGGUAUGUUUCUUUCGGGAAACAGAGACCGGCGCACGGGUGCGUAACGCGUAUGUAACUUGCCCUAUUCACUGGGAUAGCCCUCCGAAAGGAGGAUUAAUACCGGAUAACACUAAAGUCGGCAUCGGCAUUGGUUGAAAGAUUCAUCGGAAUGGGAUAGACAUGCGUCAGAUUAGCUAGUUGGUAAGGUAAUGGCUUACCAAGGCGACGAUCUGUAGGGGGCCUGAGAGGGUGAACCCCCACACUGGUACUGAGACACGGACCAG